GCUUGUUAACUAGCAAUGAUUCAGGUCUUGCAGAUUGUAAAGGAUCUGGUGACACCAUCGAGGCAAAAAGCAGCCAAAGUCAAGGAAGAUUCGGACCAGGAUGUAGCCCUCAAACUUGCCCAGGAGCGAGCCGAAAUAGUUGCUAAAUAUGACAGAGGACGAGAAGGUGCAGAGAUUGAACCUUGGGAGGAUGCUGAUUACCUUGUUUACAAAGUCACGGACAGAUUUGGCUUUUUACAUGAGGAGGAGCUCCCGUAUCAUAAUGCGGCUAUGGAACGGCAAAAACAACUGGAAAUUGAAAGAACGACUAAGUGGUUGAAAAUGCUAAAAGGAUGGGAAAAAUAUAAGAACACUGAAAAGUUUCAUAGGAGAAUUUACAAAGGAAUCCCACUCCAGCUCAGAGGUGAAGUCUGGGCUCUACUUCUGGAGAUCCCUAAAAUGAAAGAAGAAACAAGAGACCUUUAUAGUAAAUUAAAGCACAGAGCACGGGGCUGUUCACCUGACAUCAGACAAAUAGACCUUGACGUCAACCGCACAUUUAGGGACCAUAUUAUGUUUAGAGACCGAUAUGGUGUUAAGCAACAAUCCCUAUUCCAUGUUCUUGCUGCAUAUUCUAUUUAUAACACGGAAGUUGGAUACUGUCAGGGGAUGAGCCAGAUCACAGCUUUGCUCCUUAUGUAUAUGAAUGAAGAAGAUGCCUUCUGGGCCCUGGUCAAACUAUUCUCAGGCCCCAAACAUGCCAUGCAUGGCUUUUUUGUUCAAGGUUUUCCUAAACUCUUGAGAUUUCAAGAACAUCAUGAAAAAAUACUGAAUAAAUUUCUAUCCAAGCUUAAGCAACACUUGGAUUCUCAAGAAAUCUACACAAGUUUUUACACAAUGAAAUGGUUUUUUCAAUGUUUCCUUGAUCGUACUCCCUUUACACUAAACCUCAGAAUAUGGGAUAUCUACAUCUUUGAAGGAGAACGAGUUCUUACCGCUAUGUCUUAUACAAUCUUAAAAUUACACAAAAAACACCUAAUGAAACUGUCCAUGGAAGAACUUGUAGAAUUUCUUCAGGAGACCCUGGCAAAGGAUUUUUUCUUUGAAGAUGACUUUGUAAUAGAGCAACUUCAGAUUUCUAUGGUAGAACUGAAGCGUGCAAAAUUAGACCUCCCAGAACCUGGUAAAGAGGAUGAAUACCCACGGAAACCUUUGGGACAGCUUCCACCCGAAUCUGCUGGCAUCAGUCACCUGAGCAACGGACAAAGAAGCAUGGGCAGGUCAAGUCCCCCUCUGAACAGCAGAAGAGAGAGCAACUCUUCACCCCACAAAAAGCAUGAGCAUUCCCCUCACCAUCAAGGUCGAGUUGGCACACCAGAAAGAGUAAGGGCGCUGAGAAGGAAAUCCGUGGACGAAGACAGUAAAAAGCUUAAAGACGAAGCAGAUUUGCAAAGAAAACUUCCAUCGGGCCCACAAGACAGUUCGAGGCAAUAUAAUCACGCAGCUGCUAACCAGAACAGCAAUGCCACUUCAACUGUCAGGAAGGAAUUUGUGCCCAAGUGGAAUAAACCGUCAGAUACUUCAGCUAUUGAAAAAACUGCCAAAUAUGCCAUCGAAGGCAAAAGUAGGUCAGCACAUCCCUCGCUCACAGCCGCCGUCCCGAGUUCUGCUGAUACUCGGAUGUCGAAUGUGAGGCAAAAGAUGAAGGUUUGGGAUGUCGAUGAAGGGAAACGGGGCUCCAAUGCAUCCCAGUACGAUAACGUGCCCGAGAAUGAUAACAGCGCGUCUAUUGAAGAGGCGCUAGAAAGAGCUUACUGUCACAGUCCCAGGAAGCACGUGGAGCCAGGGUCUAGUCCAUCAAGAGCCUCAAACAAGUUUACUUUUAAAGUGCAGCCUGCAGGUUACACAAAAUACCCGUCUCCGUUAGACGGGGAAGAUCGCAGGACAGUGCACCCACCCUCCUACAGUAACCCCCCUGUGUACCACGGAAAUUCUCCCAAACACAUCCCUGCUGCCGACAGCAGCUUUGCAUCUCCACAGUUUACCCAUGGGACUCCAGGGAAUCCUUCCAGGAGACCUUAUGGCUCUACUCUUUCAGUCGAUAUUUCUCCAGAGAAAUCUUACAGCCGCCCUCUUCCUCUUGUCCUGCCAUCCAGCCGAAUAGAAGUUCUUCCUAUGGAGACCGGUGCCGGGGGGUAUUCAGGCAAUUCGGAGUCACCAAAGAACGGGAAAUUCAUCAUUCCUCCAGUGGAUUAUCUGCCGGAUAACAGAAAAUGGUCAGAAGUUAGUUACACAUACAGACCUGAGACUCACGGACAGCUGUGGACUCAAGAUGCUAACCGUAGCCACUUGAGCAAGUUACCAAAAUAUUCCGCCUUUCAGCAUGUUCCCUUUCAGGACCAUAGCCUCCCAGCAGUCUCAGUAGAUAGUCCAGUGCGAUACAGAACUUCACCAGGUUUAGAAGAUGCCGGUUCCUCUGGGUAUCAAUAUUCAGGGCCCUCGCCUCCAGGAUAUCACUACAGAAAUCGGGAUGGACUUUCUAUUCAAGAAUCAGUAUUGCUGUGAGAAUUUAUCUAUACUUGGUAAAGACAAGAGAAUAGAAACCAUUUGAAACCUACAUUGCUAUGUUUAUAAUUGCCAAAGCAGUAUUUCCUACUACUGUAAACAUCUUGCACAAUUCCAGUGUAUGCUAGUAAUAAGAAUAUGUAGAAGCGUUUCAUCCCCACGUAGAUGCUGCUUAAGAUGAGCAGUUUUUAAAUUGCAUCAUCACUGAAUCUGCUCAAAAGAAUUUAACAUGGAAACAUAGCAGUGGUGUUGAGGGAUGCACACAUGAUGAUAAUUCAUCACUCAGUUUCAUUUAUAUCUUUCUCCAAAACCUGAGCAUUUUUACUCCAUUAGCCUAUGCUAUUUUGAGAACCGUUAUAAAGCACUGAAAAACUGCACAGAAUAGACAUUUUUAAGGCUAGAUGUAGUGUACGUAUCUUUUAAUAGAUACCAAAAGGCCUCUGUGCACACACAUUUGAACACAAAACUAAAGAAACGUUAAAAAAACUAAUUUUAAUAUAUAUCCAUGGGAUAAUUUACUGUUCUUCCUUUCCUUAACUUAUCUUUCACUCAAGUUCCUCCCCCCCCCCCCAAUCUGUUUUUCACCCAGGUCCUAAAGUGAUGUAUGGGUCUGCCCCGACUUGAUUCAGCUUCUCUGCCAUUGCAGCCAUUUUCUUUCCAUCUGAAAAUUAAAGACACUGGAGAGCAAGGCUCACCACUUAAUGGUGCUUAAACAUCGGGGCACUCAAAGUACAAUUCUGAUUGUGCCAUUUACUCUACACAGAACGUGGAACUUCUUCGCCUCAACCAUGCACAUUGAGGACAACAGACUCAACACGAAGCAUGAGGCGUUUGUUUGAGAGCCCACGGAUGAGUGGGGUUGCCCACGGUAACCGAGAGGAUCUUUCUUCCCCACCGGGUGACGGGUCAAAAAGAAGACACGGAUUCGGAUUCGCAGCCACGUGAUCAUUUACCAGGGAGGGGGCAAGCGUCUCUCCCCCAUCGCUGAGGGAAUGGCGCUCCAGGAGAAGACGGCGACCUGUAGUUCUUACCUCUCACCGGAGCUCUGAAAGGAGCUGAGGAGGAUAAAGCACAUCCCAAAAGCCGGGCUUGGGGGACUGGAUCAAAGGAAAAGUCCCGGAGCUGCAGAGGGCAGUUUGUGACACAGCCGUGGGGUGAAGGAGGCGGGUGUCCUCCCGUGGGGGCAGGAGAGGGCCUUCCUCCCUCCCUGCAAGGACCAGGGGCAAAGUCACAAUUAGGCAUUUGUGAAGGAAAGAGAAGCCGGUCAUGCCAGCAAUUCAGCUCAAGGUGGUGGUGCUGUUACUUUAGGAAGCUGACUGGGUCUUUUUCUCUUCUAUCCACUUUGCCUUAUUUUGGUAGACCAAGAAGGCGGUAUUUUCCUCCUGGCCAGUGUGAAUCAGGUCACAUUUGCUUCUUUGGAUGGAAUCACCUCAAAGUGAUCAGAAGCAGUUUCCCCGCGGUCCCCGGUGCUGGUGGGGCUCACGGUGGCUGCUGGCUCCGUGCAGGCUCAGCCGGAGGGAGGUGGUUGUGUGACAACAGGCUUCCUGUUCCCUGCCUCUCGCCCCAGCCACAGUGCAAAGUCUGCAUGUGAACGUGUGUGGGUAAAUAUAGACAGAAGUGUGUUUGUGUAAAAUUUGCUUGUAUUUAUAAAAAGUAAUGGUAAACCAGAAACUGCAGAGGGGCUGGGGACAGGGAGAAGAGCUGGGUCUCCCUGUUAGGGCCGCCGGCUCUGGCCUGCUUCCAGCAGCCUGCCCCACUCCGCAGGGCUGGGUGAGGAGGAACUGGAACCCUCCUUUAUAGAUCAUGGCACUCGAAUUCCCUGCCUCUGUGGCCCCAAGCCCACUUACAGAACCCUUCCCGCGUCCCCCCUCCUCUGGGCAAACAGCACCUCCGGGAUGCACACCCACCACCUGAGGGCCGACCAGGGGCUGCCCCCCCCCCCCCCCGGCCCCGGCACGUGUGGGUGCAAGGCUUCUGUGGGAUGGGAGCGCCUGGGGCCUGGGAGCAGUGGGCGGAGGGAUGGGGCAGGCUCUCCUUGGGCCAUCCAGUUCCAGCCCGGAGCUCCUGAGAGCCAAGUGGGAAACUGGUCUCCAUGUCCAUGGGAAGAAGCACUUUCUAGGAGGAGAGGACAUAUUCUAUUUAGGAAUUUGGUGGCUCAGUUGGUUAAGUGUCCAACUUUGGCUUGGGUCAUGAUCUCACAGUUUAUAGGUUCGAGCCCCACCUCAGUCUCUGUGCUGACAGCUGGGGGCCUGGAGCCUGCUCUGGAUCCUGGGCCAUCUCCCUCUCUCUCUCUGCCCCUCUCCUGCUCACGCUCAGUCUCUCUCUCUUGAAAACAAACAUUUAAAAAAAAAAAAAAAGAAUUUGGUGGCUUGAUGUAUAACCUGAAAUUCUCAUGGGAUAUGGACCCCUGUUACCUUUGUGCAAGGACCCACGGGUAUUAAGGACACUUGACUAAAUUCGCCUUGUUUUGUACAUUUGACUUUGGAAUCGUGUGGAUAAUUUACAUAAUUAUGAAUUGAAAUGAAAUUUUAUUAAUGAAAUUCAUUUUAUUAAGGUGGGACUUAUUAAGAUGGGACUAUUUGGUAUGGAAGGAAGGAUGUACAGAUAUGUACUUAAUGAGUUAAAUAAAAGAGGAAAAGGAAACCAGUGACCUGGACUGGGUAUUGAACCGGUGGCAUAAACAUUCCGGUGACUGUGGAAUGUGAUCCUGGAACUCUGCCUCCCAAGCUGGGCUGUAUUCUGAGAACAAAAGGACCGUAAAACAUUUUUUAAAACUAUAGUCAUCAGUUCUCUUGUUUGUGAUAGUGUCAGGCAUUUUUAUUCUGAGCCUAUUGUGUGUAUACCGUGGAGUAGAGAACAUGAGUUGUUUUGUUGGUGUCAUUGAAGAUGGGACUUUUUUUUUUAAAAGGAUUUUAUUUAUUUUUGAGAAAGAGAGUGCAAGCAGGGGAGAGGCAGUGAGAGGCAGGGAACAGAGGACCUAAAGCUGGCUCCGGUGCUGACAGCUGAGAGCCUGAUGCGGGGCUCGAGUUCACAAUGAGAUCAUGACCUGAGCUGAAGUCAGGUGCUUAACCGACUGAGCCACCCAGGCGCCCCGUGGAUGGGACUAUUUGGUAUGGAAGGAAGGAUGUACAGAUAUCCACCUAAUGAGUUAAAAAAAAACCCAUAGUCCUGAAUCAGAGUUGGAAGUGUUAGUAUGAACUCAUGUAUUUUAUCUUUAAAAAGAGAUGUAUUUCCUGGUUUUGUCCAAUAAAGAGGCUUGGAGACGAUGAACGCCACUGGAACCCAAAUGGAGUGUCUAAAUAUCUAAAACUAAAUCCUGCCAGGAGGAACCAAGACUUCUAAGUUUGGGAUGGGAUAUGUUCAAGGUCGGCUCAGAUAUCGUGUCAUACCCACGAGCGAGGAUGUUAGCAAAGAUGGUGACACACAUGCCCAAUGAUGGGGUUUGUGAGCAAACAGCUGAGAAAGAAUUCUUGAGACGUCUUUGGUGCGAAAAGGUGAUUUUAUUAAAACCCAGGGACAGGUCCCAUGGACACAAAGAGCUGCCCUGGGGCUGCAAGGAGUGGCUGAUUAUAUACCCUUAAGUUGGGUGGGGGGGAGGUUAGGGAGAGCGUAAGUCUCUGAGGAAUUUGCAAGCAAAGCUUUCAGGACCUUGAGGGCCAGCUGCUGUUAGAAUAAGGUUACUUUUAGUCUUUAGUGAAACAGGAAAAGUAAGGCAGCAAGGCAGCUGUGAGUUUCUCCAGGAAGCUCACGCUCUACGUGUUCCAGGUGUCUGUCAGUGGGUUAUAAGCGGUAAGGAGAUUUGGAGAUGUAAGAUUUCCCUUGUCUCUGUGUUCCUCAUCACCCAAGACGCAGUCGUGAGCCAGACUGAGGAGUCUCCCACUGCCACUGCGGGUGGAGGAUCUCAGGGCUUCUUUAGGGAACCAGUGAUGACACUGUUGCCCCCACCCCAAAGUUAAUGACCCCUGUAUACUUUCAGUCUGUCUGCUUCCGGUUCAUUCCACAGGCACACAGUCUGUUCAAAAGUCUCUCUUGGACACCACCCUUCAGCUCGCCCCUGGAUCCUCUUUUAUUGAACGAUUUACACUGCCUCUCUCUCUCCUUUUAACAUGGCUUUCUUUUCUUUUUUUUUAAUUUUUUAAAAUGUUUAUUUAUUUAUUUUGAGACAGAGAGAGAGCACGCAGGAGGGACAGAGAGAGACACACAGAGAGAGAGAGAGAAGAUCUGAAGCAGGCUCCACGCUAUCAGCAUAGAGCCUGACACGGGGCUCGAUCACAAACCGUGACAUUGUGACCCGCGGUGAAGUUGGAUGCUCAACCAACUGAGCCACCCGCGUGCCCCACACCCAUUUUAAGAAUUGGUUUUCCUAGAACUCCAGGCUGUCUAGGUGCCUGGUCCACUCUCCGAGUUAUUGAAGGCAACUGAUUUGCCAAGUAUUCCGCCACAUAAGUAAUGCAGCUCUGUGGCUCUCCAGCCUCAACGUGGCUUUCUCCCCGCCUGCCACCCAAGUGCUAACACGGGGCCGCGUGAUUGAGUUUUCACUAUGACGACACACGACUAGUUAGGACACGUGACAGAUGCUGUAACACAAGAGCCCAGGCAGCAGGGGCUCAAGGAAGGUGAAAUCGCAGCUCUCUCCCACACAGAAGCCAGACGGGACACAGGUACUCAGGGAGCUGUGCUCCACAAGGCCAUCAGGGGCUCCAGGGCCUCAUCCGCCAUUGCUCAACCAGUCUCCAAGCUUGCUGUCUGUGACCAAGGGGUCGAAUUUGACUCAUUCCAUGGCCUCUGCCUUCCAGUCCAGACUAAGCUAGAACAGGAGGAAAUGGAGGGCAGAGAACUUCUUUAUGACAAUAACCUGUCACUUGAACAAAUAACUUCUGCCCACAGUCUGUUGGCCAAAAUUUAACCCUCCAGUCAUAACCAUGCGCACGAGAACCUAGGAAAUGUAAUUUCUAACUGGGAUGCCAUGUGCGCAGCCAAAUUCAAGGGGUUCUGUUAUUAGAAGGAAGAAGGGGAAAAUGGAUACUGGGGCAAUUAACUUUUCUGCCCCACCUAGCCACCCCUUGGGGUAAGAGCUCACCGCAGGGUAUUUUUCCUUAAAUCUCUGCUGUCCAAGAAAUAAGACAUUUUCUGUGGCUCAAAUCUUAUUGUGUAGCUCAUGGUUUAAGUCAGAUCAGGGAUAAGGGCAUUAGCUGGAGUGAUGUCCCUUCUUCUAGAUGGCCAUUCCAAUCCAGAUUCCCAAUUGCCCUGUGGUUGGUAAUGAUAGCAAUAAUAAUAGACAACCACCAUUAUUGAACAGCCAUUUUACACUGGUUAUUUUUUUAAGUGACUCGUGUGCAUUUUCUCAUUUAGUCUUUGCAAAGCCGACAAAGCAGGUGUUCAAAUGGCCAUGCUCUACACUAGGAAGCUGUGCCCAAGACUGUAAUUGAGAGAGCCUUCUCACCAACCUUCUCGACCCUGGGUCCACAUCGUAGGGGUCCAACACAGACUCCUGAAAGGAAAUGAAAAGCUGGCCAUGACAUGACAAGAACAACCAUGGAUGGACCGAGUCUCGUGCAGGAUCAGUAUAGCUUGGAAACUAGUGAUUUCCGAAUUGGGACCCUUCAUCUUGCGGUGGGGGUGGGGUCAGGAUGGCCCAUCGGAAUGCAGGAAGACAGUGCCGGAAUGUUCAUCUGCAUUUAUUUUUACCUCAUCCUGUAGGCAUUUCUCUUGGGUGCGUGUUUGCUAACGUGGGCACCAUCAUCAGUGCAGUAGUGAAUAUAUUUAAUUUAUAAGUAAAUAUACAAUAUGGAAGUGCUCACCAGGCAUUUGCAAAUGGCGGGGUGCUUGAUCUACAAAGCUUGGAGACCACUUCUCUCCACUGCUGUCCCCCCAGGUCCCAGGUGUUCCCACAGAGGAGGAGUGGACAGUGGAGGGAUGAGCGUUCUGGGGCAAUAAUGCUUUUAUACGGGCCAGAGUGCGACUGACCAAUUACAAACACACACAGAGCCCAGAGAAGGUGCAAUCCACUCCUCAAAGCUCUCCUUGGCUUCUUUCCCCUGUGCACCAUGUGCCUUCCUGGGGCUCCUUCUCACUCCUUCCGUCUGCCUCUCAGAAGUUUCCAGCCCCAACCUCACACCAUCCUGUGUACACAACUGGGGAAGUCCCAUUUCUGGACCCAGAAUUUUCCAACGAGAGCACCAGCAAGGCCAGCACACCCCUUUCUUGCUAAUAUUGACCCCCCUCAUAGCAUAAGUCCUUGUGUUCUAUGUAACAGUGGUGAUGGGUCCACUGGUGCCCCUCGUGAGGGACUGAAUUGUGCCCUAAGUCCUAUGCCAAAGUCCUAACUCCCGGGGUACCUCAAAAUGUGGCCUGAUUUGGAGGUAAGAUCUUUACAGAGGUCAUCAAGUUAAUGUGAGGUCAUUGGAGUGAGCCCUAAUUCUCUAUGACUGAUGUCCUUAUAAGAAUGGUAAAAUUGGGAGACAGACACGCACUGGGAGAGAAGGCCAUGUGACCACGCAGGUGGGGACCUGCAGGUCAAGGAACCCCGGGGGGUUGCCAGCACACCGCCAGAGACUCUUGGAUGGGAUUCCCUCCCUGCUCGCAGAGGGACCCAGCCCUGCCCACACCUUGAUCUUGGCCUUAGGCUUCUAGAACUGUGAGACUGUAGGUUCUGUGAUGAAGCUGGUGCUUUGUUAUGGCAGCCUCAGCCGACAAAUGUGCCCUGGUGCCUGAGGAACCCCUGCCUUGUUCAGCUCAGUCUCAUCUUCAGUAGAAAGCGAGGGCUUCUCUCUGUCCAUCUGAGGGUGUCCGGGUCUCCACCCGCUGCUCCGUGAGUGUGAAAUGGCCCCGGGGGGUGGAGUCAGUGGAGGCAGCAGUGGCCUCCAUUCUCUGAUCUCGCCUUGGUUUCCCCUCUGUUCCUGCUUAAUUUCCACGAGAGUUUUCUCUCCCCUUCCUUCAGGCCCAGCCUUACCUUCUCCAAGCAGAAAAACUAGCCAUAGCCAGGGUUUGUCUCUUUUCUGCUAGAAACUGGCCUAGUCACAGAAAACUCGAGUUGCCCCUGGGAUACAGCAGGCCGUGUCCCCCAAGUCCAGAAUGAGGACGUUAUUGCUGAGGUGCGAAGGCGUUUACCUGAAGGGUCACGCAAAAGCAUAAAGGCUAACUUACAUCAGGUCAUUCACUUUACGGUAUACAUUGAAAAUGGUAGAGGGGCGCCUGGGUGGCGCAGUCGGUUAAGCGUCCGACUUCAGCCAGGUCACGA